rnacentral:rRNA from 1 species
ACAGAGGGUGCGAGUGUUAAUCGGAAUUACUGGGCGUAAAGCGCACGUAGGUGGCGAUGUAAGUCGGGCGUGAAAUCCCCCGGCUUAACCUGGGAACUGCGUCUGAUACUGGACGGCUUGAGUAUGGGAGAGGGGUGUAGAAUUCCAGGUGUAGCGGUGAAAUGCGUAGAUAUCUGGAGGAAUACCGGUGGCGAAGGCGGCAUCCUGGACCAUUACUGACGCUGAGGCGCGGAAGCUAGGGGAGCAAACGGGA